rnacentral:rRNA from 1 species
CGUAGGGUGCGAGCGUUAAUCGGAAUUACUGGGCGUAAAGUGUGCGCAGGCGGCGGAGCAAGUCGAGUGUGAAAGCCCCGGGCUUAACUUGGGAAUUGCGCUCGAAACUACUUUGCUGGGGGUGUGGCAGAGGAAGGUGGAAUUCCACGUGUAGCGGUGAAAUGCGUAGAGAUGUGGAGGAACACCAAUGGCGAAGGCAGCCUUCUGGGCCAACACUGACGCUCAUGCACGAAAGCGUGGGGAGCAAACAGGAUUAGAUACCCUGGUAGUCCACGCCCUAAACGAUGACGACUAGUUGUUGGAGGAGUUAAAUCCUUUAGUAACGCAGCUAACGCGCGAAGUCGUCCGCCUGGGGAGUACGGUCGCAAGAUUA